rnacentral:pre_miRNA from 1 species
GUAGGAGGCGUAGGGCACGAUGAUUCAUUUCCUGGCGGUCUCUAAUUCGCUUGGUGCAGGUCGGGAACCGCUUCGYCCCGUUUGAGCCUAUAAACCAGCUGGCUCGAGGCUGCGGGGCGAAACGGRUCCCGCCUUGCAUCAACUGAAUCGGAGACCGCGGUGAAGGCGGUUUCAUGGAUCUUGCGUUCCUGC